AGUAGCUCAGGGUCUCGGGCUGCCGUCUUCCUGGCCCCCAGGGCUGGCACUGCCCGGACCCUAGUGUAGGGGAUCGCUGCCCUCCCAGAACACUGCUCUGUAGGCUCUGUCCGCUCCCUCCCUGCCGCCCAUCCCCAUAAGUUACCCCUGCCCUUUUCACCCCUCCAGGCCCUUAGGUGCCGAGACCCCUGGGCCCCUGUCCCUGCUCAGACCCCAGAUCCCUGGCGGGAGUUUCCUGUCCCCAUCACUGCACUUUCCAUGACACAAGAGGAAGUCAGCUGAGCCCAGGCUGGGUUUUCCAGGCAGCCCAGCCCAGCAGAGGCUGAAGGUGGGGGAGGGGGUUGCUGAGCCCCCAGGGCCGGCUGUCAGAACCUCCUCAGCCUCCACCGGAGAGGCACCUGCUGGUGCAGCCCUGGGCCACACCAGGUGUGAGUCCAGCAGCUGGGGCGGGGGCUGUCUUGCCUGGAGGGACAGAUAAGGUCUCCCCACUGACCCCCACUUUCCUAGCUCCUCCUGGACAACACUAGAUGGCCUCCUGGGGCUUCUGGAAGGUUCGUGAUCAUGACAAGAUGAACUCCUAAGCCCUGGUGGUACCCUGGAGGGGAAGGGCUGACCUUACCCGGGCCUGUGCGAGCCACACGUCCCACAGUCUGAGGCCCUGAGAGCUCAGCAUUCGUGUUUACUCAGAUUAGACUCCUUCAACCAAGAGGCAGAGGCUUUGGUUGAGAAAAGAAGGCCUCCCAGUAGUAUACGGCGGGUGUGAACCAAGGCCAUUGUUCCUGUGAAAUAUCUGAGGAUCAGAGAGGUUAUGUGAAU
rnacentral:lncRNA from 13 species